rnacentral:misc_RNA from 1 species
UUCCAAAGGAUAAUGUGGAUUCGUCUUGUGUAGAAUAUUCUUUGCCUGUAAUUAAGACCUCCCCUGCUCCAUCAGGUCACGAGAUCCCACUUUAUACUGUAGCUCAUAGCAGGGCCGGCGACAAGGGAAAUGACUUGAAUUUUUCAAUCAUCCCACACUUCCCUCCGGACAUCGAGAGAUUGAAGAUGGUUGUGACACCCCAGUGGGUAAAGGGAGUUGUCGCUCUUCUAAAUACUUCUUCAUUUCUGGACUCAGAAGCUAUCAUGAAGAGAGACAAAUGGGUCAAUGAAUAUGUAGAUGUGGAAAUAUAUGAAGUCAGGGG